UACGGGGGGGGCAAGCGUUGUUCGGAAUUACUGGGCGUAAAGGGCGCGUAGGCGGCUUUUCAAGUCGGGCGUGAAAUCUCCGGGCUUAACCCGGAAGGGUCGUUCGAUACUGUUGAGCUAGAGUGUGGAAGAGGCAACUAGAAUUCCGUGUGUGGCGGUGAAAUGCGUAGAUAUACGGAGGAAUACCUGAGGCGAAGGCGGGUUGCUGGGCCAACACUGACGCUGAGGCGCGAAAGCCAGGGGAGCAAACGGG
rnacentral:rRNA from 1 species